UACAGGGGGGGCAAGCGUUGUUCGGAAUUACUGGGCGUAAAGGGCGAGUAGGCGGCCAACUAAGUCCGACGUGAAAUCCCCAGGCUUAACCUGGGAACUGCGUCGGAUACUGGAUGGCUUGAAUUCGGGAGAGGGAUGCGGAAUUCCAGGUGUAGCGGUGAAAUGCGUAGAUAUCUGGAGGAAGACCAGUGGCGAAGGCGGGUCUCUGGACAGUUCCUGACACUGAGGCACGAAGGCCAGGGGAGCAAACGGG
rnacentral:rRNA from 1 species